rnacentral:rRNA from 1 species
GACGAACGCUGGCGGCGUGCUUAACACAUGCAAGUCGAACGGUGAAGCGCCUUCCUUUUUGGUGGGUGUGGAUGAGUGGCGAACGGGUGAGUAACACGUGAGUAACCUGCCCCCUUCUUCUGGAUAACCGCAUGAAAGUGUGGCUAAUAUGGGAUAUUCUGGGUCUGUCGCAUGAUGGGUCUGGGAAAGAUAUUGUUUCGGUGGGGGAUGGGCUCGCGGCCUAUCAGCUUGUUGGUGGGGUGAUGGCCUACCAAGGCGGUGACGGGUAGCCGGCCUGAGAGGGUGGCCGGUCACACUGGGACUGAGACACGGCCCAGACUCCUACGGGAGGCAGCAGUGGGGAAUAUUGCACAAUGGGCGCAAGCCUGAUGCAGCGACGCCGCGUGAGGGAUGGAGGCCUUCGGGUUGUGAACCUCUUUCGCCAGUGAAGCAGGCCUGCCUCGUUUGUGGGUGGGUUGACGGUAGCUGGAUAAGAAGCGCCGGCUAACUACGUG